CGCGCAGGUGGUUGAUUAAGUCUGAUGUGAAAGCCCACGGCUUAACCGUGGAGGGUCAUUGGAAACUGGUCGACUUGAGUGCAGAAGAGGGAAGUGGAAUUCCAUGUGUAGCGGUGAAAUGCGUAGAGAUAUGGAGGAACACCAGUGGCGAAGGCGGCUUCCUGGUCUGUAACUGACACUGAGGCGCGAAAGCGUGGGAGCAAACA
rnacentral:rRNA from 1 species